GACGAACGCUGGCGGCGUGCUUAACACAUGCAAGUCGAGCGGUAAGGCCUUUCGGGGUACACGAGCGGCGAACGGGUGAGUAACACGUGAGUAAUCUGCCCCCCUCUUCGGGAUAAGCUUCGGAAACGGGGUCUAAUACCGGAUAUGACUGUCGCACGCAUGUGUGGUGGUGGAAAGUUUUUCGGUGGGGGAUGUGCUCGCGGCCUAUCAGCUUGUUGGUGGGGUAAUGGCCUACCAAGGCUUCGACGGGUAGCCGGCCUGAGAGGGUGACCGGCCACACUGGGACUGAGACACGGCCCAGACUCCUACGGGAGGCAGCAGUGGGGAAUAUUGGACAAUGGGCGGAAGCCUGAUCCAGCAACGCCGCGUGAGGGAUGACGGCCUUCGGGUUGUAAACCUCUUUCAGUACCGACGAAGCGUGAGUGACGGUAGGUACAGAAGAAGCACCGGCCAACUACGUGCCAGCCGCCGCGGUAACAC
rnacentral:rRNA from 1 species